UACGAAGGGGGCUAGCGUUGUUCGGAAUUACUGGGCGUAAAGCGCGCGUAGGCGGUUUUGCAAGCCAGAGGUGAAAUGCCUGAGCUCAACUUAGGAAUUGCCUUUGGGACUGCGAGGCUUUGAGGACUGGAGAGGUGAGUGGAAUUCCCAGUGUAGAGGUGAAAUUCGUAGAUAUUGGGAAGAACACCGGUGGCGAAGGCGGCUCACUGGCCAGUUUCUGACGCUGCAGCGCGAAAGCGUGGGGAGCGAACAGG
rnacentral:rRNA from 1 species